GCAGUAGCCAAGUGGCAGAGCAUCUGCUCUGCAUGCAGAAGGUCCCAGGUUCAAUCCUUGGAAUCUCCA